rnacentral:lncRNA from 10 species
GGGAAGUCACCCGCACUCCUUAGACCAAUACUUCAUCUAAGGUAGCAAUGAAUGUCAAAGGCCUAAAACAUCUGGCCAUAGGGAUUUUGGAUCCUUGUCAAAUAGUUCCCACUCCAACUUGAUUGCAGAAAUAUCUGAGCUGCCUUCUGUUUUUUUUGUUUUUUUUUUGUUUUUGUUGUUGUUGUUGUUUUUGAGAUGGAGUCUCGCUCUGUUGCCCAGACUGGAGCACAGUGGAACCAUCUCAGCUCACUACAACCUCCACCUCCCGGGGUUCAAGCAGUUCUUCUGCCUCAGCCUCCCAAAUUGCUGGGAUUACAGGUGCCUGCCACCAUGCCUGACUAAUUUUUGUAUUUGUAAUGGAGAUUGAGUUUCACCAUGUUGGCAGGCUGGUCUUGAAAUCCUGACCUCAGGUGAUCUGCCUGCCUUGGCCUCCCAAAUUGCUGGAAUUACAGGCAUGAACCACCAUACCAAAGACGGCAGAGCUGCCGUCUUUGAAUGCAGAGAGGGGUUUGAACAAUGAAUUCUACAGCAGUGACCACGAUGUGCUGACAACCAGAGGUCUUUCUAGUUAGCAUUGUGGGGGUCGUGUAAAUGUCCCAGGAGUUCUCUAUAAUCCCAAAGGACAGUAGAGGGGCCCCCCUGAUCCAUAACUGGAUAUUCCAGGCUUCACCCCAGUGGUUCUGAUUUUGUGUGACUUAAGUUGGGCCCCUACAUUGCAUUUUUAGCAUGCACCUCAGCAAUGCUGAUGCAAGUAGUCCCUUAAGCACAGAGAGGCAGAUACUGUAAUUGUCCCCAUUUUACAAAGAAGAAAAUAGAGCCUCUGAGAGCCUAACCUUCUCCAGUUCCAAGUGUUUGGAAGGUCUAGGCCAAUAUUGGUUGAGUGAGGAAAACUGAACAAAUUGUCCUUUCUUUUGUGUAGAGUACAAUUCAUGCCCACAUAAGAAGCACAAUUCUUAUUUUAUUCUGGGGAAUCCUGCCAAAAUUCAAAUGUUUGCAAAAUUCCAAGAACUGAGUGGUCUUCUACUUCUUCUUUUGUAAUCAAGUAAGCAGAAACAGUGUAGCCAGUGAAAAGCUCACCACAAAUGUUUAUUAGAUAAGACUGGUCUGGGGCACGUCAUCUAUGAAGGUGCUGAGCAAAUCCAAGAAAUGUUUCCUAUCAUACUCUUAAGCACCAAGCUUGGAAAAUCAAGCAAAACAACCAACUCAGCUGCUCACAAAGUCAGCAAAAAAUGUUUAUAUAAUUAAUCUUCAUUAUGGCAGUUCAGUCACAACAUUAGUGGCAAAUAUACCCACAGAAUAAAUGCAAAUUGUAGGUGCAAAUCAAUUUAUGCAUUCAGCAGCAAUUCCACUUGCCCCCCACAUACACACUUAAUAGCUCGUUGAAACGUAGAAAUCAUUACUGGUCUUCAGAAAGAUGCAAGUUUGCAAACCAGGAUCCGAAAUUAAACAAUGAUGACAAAAUAGCAAUAUCAAAACCAUAGGCAUCAGGAGACACCUGAAGAAGAACUAGGAGUGAAUAUUUCGGCAUGCCCUGGGGAGAUGGAAGCACAGGCUUCGCUGCUUAUUUUCUCUUUUUACUCUUUCUGUUGCUAAGUCUCCUAACCAUCAAACCCUGGUGGUGGUGGGAGGAUUUUAGAGGAGCUCCCAGAUAAAGAAUGCGGCCAGACUUGCUUCCAUUCCAAAUUACUUGGAAAUUGAUUCUCUUUCUCCUCUGAAAUGUCUCCUCAGGUGUCCCAGAGAUUUCCUUUCUUGUGCUCUGGGGACAAAACAAAAACCAAAACAAAAACAUUUAAAAAGUGACUGGAAAUACAAAGACCUGAGAGUCAGGUGAAAUGUCUCAGAAAGUUGUAAUUAAGAGAGUGCCCUCUACAUGAACCUGUGUAAUGUAGAUACUUUCUCCCUUUAUUCACUUUUCAGUUCUCUUUGUCUUUUUGGUUGCUCUCAGAUGAAGGUAUCAAGGUGCCUCUAUUUGGCAAAUUGGUUACCUUAAUUGUUUUCUCUGUUUCUUAAAAGUCAACAGGUAUUGAUUUGGUUCAGUCUUCUCAUUCUUCCAUGUCCCCAUCUGAACAUAAUUUUCAUUUUUCUCACGAUGCCUAUGUUUAAGUGUAAUUAUUGUAGUAACAGUCUCAUUAAGUGACAUGUUUGGAGGAGAAGGGCUCUGGUUAAUUGAGUCCUAAAGAAGAGAAGAUAGCUUUAAUUUUUCAAUUCUCAUUGUUGAAAAUAUUUAUGCUUUUCAUCUGUCUUUUCUUCAUUCAUUUCACUCUCAUUUCUACCAACAGAAAAAAAAACAAAUCAGUAUCAUUACACAAAUAUCCAAAUUAAUAUAGAAAGAAAUCAAUAUAAGGAAUCAUGGCUGCAAAGGGGGUAGGAACAGCACCAGGUUUCACAUGUGUGCAAUCAUGACUCUUAUUUGGCACCAAGUUUAGCUCUGAGAUCCCUGGCAGGCAAAGCAAAACAAGAAAUAGAUCCCAUGUUUUAAUCAAAAGAAGCAAAGUAGUUCACAAGGAAAGACAAACUUUCUUUUUGGUGGGAAGGAGGGUGGAGGAAAGGGACAUGAAAAUCUAAUUACAGUGACUUAAAGGAAAAGGGUCAUGUGACUCUUCAUUUGUGGCAUUGGACCAAUCUAGUGUCACAUCAUUGGACACUGUCAUGUCGGCAGAAGGAAUUUUUUCCCCUUUUCUUGCCCACACCUCCACACAGGCAUUUUACUUGAUUUUGUUAAUGUUUUACCACCACAGAUCUAACCCAUGAUGAGAUCGUUUGGUUAUAAGAUGACAAAAGGCAAAUUAAUAGAAUUAUGGUUCUACUCCCACCCUCCAUUAGUUCUACCUUUUAAAAAUGUGUUGUACAAACAUUUAGGCUAGUUUGGCAGAGCACCCCUGAAAUCAAUCCCUAAGCAUGUUCCAAAGAUCACCUAGGUAUCCCAGAAUUAAUUGGAGACCCAAAUAUGAGUUACCAAUGAUAGCACCAUACUAGUGUAAGGAGCUCCAGGACAAGAGUUUACGUUUUCUAGGUAACAUUAAGUGCCUGACGUUUGAUCUCUCUGAAUUUUUGAUUCUGCAUGGCUCUAAAGGAGAUCAUAAAUUAUACUAAAUGAGGAUCAAUCAGUUCUUUUCAACUGAAAUCUAGAUUUCAGUUUCAUUGUCCCCAUAACUAUCAAACUGUCAUAGAAAUUGAGUAUGUCAACAUCUAGAGUUAUCUUUUGCAUGUGAAAGAAGCAUAAUGAUUCUUACUCAGAUUAUAUGUGCUGAUUUUCAGUUUAUAACCUGAUGAUUGUAUGUACAUCCCAUGUAAGUGCUCUUCAUCCUCCUGUAAUACUAGCUAGGAGCUUUAUCACUCUUAGAAAGUACUUAUCUUAUUUGCUUUUCUUACACUUCACCUGCUCUAAUGCCUUUAAUUUUUAACUUGUGUAUUUAAUCCAGUUUAUUUAAAGUGAUUUAAGCUGUAUGUCUUGGGAAAGGGAGACCUCAGCUAUUCUAAAUGAACAGUUUUAACAUUCUAAUUUGGAAUCACAGGAAAACCAAAUCUAUUUGGUAGAAAAGGUACAAGAUCCGACAUCAAGAAACUCAUGUUUGAUUCCUGUCCCUCCUCUUUACUGUCCAUUUGUAAAACACACUCCAAAUUUCUUAGCCUUUCUUUCCUAAUCUGUAAUAUGAGCGUAACAAUAAUAAUUCCUCCUUUUUAAGAUUGAUUUGAAGAUUAAGUUUGCAUAUUUGAGAAAAAUCUGUCAACUGUAAAAUUACAUUCACUUCUUAUUUAUUGCUAUUAUUAGGCCCAAGUUUUUUUUCUGAUUAUGAACACAGAAAGCCACAAGAAUAACAGGAAACUUCAUGGUGACAAGAAUUCUAUUAAGCACUUUAAAUAUAUGGAUUCAUUUGAACCUCACAGCAACCCUAAUGCAGAAUUAUUCUUCUCAUUUUUCAAAUGAAAAGCCUGAGGCAGAGAAAGGAUAAUAAACUUGUCCAACGUCACAUAGUCAGUAAAUGGCAUAGCUGAGAUUCAAACCCAAGUGCUAAGUGCACAGGCUCUUGUCACUAUACUGUAUGUCCUCAGCACACAGCUAUAGUAAGUAUUAGGAAUAUUAAUAAAUGUAACACACACAUGCACAAAGGAUUCCAUCAUCAAACAAGGUUAGGAAACACUAGAUUCAACCAAGUUAACUAGGCGUCUUGACUGCAGGACUCCUCAGACCCUUUAACAAAUGAGGGAUGGUGUUCAGCAAAUUCCAAGACCAAACUGAAACCAAAUUGUUUCUUCAUGAGCAUCUCAAAGGACUUGGGUUCCAGGGAAUACAUUUUGGCAAGUGCUCAUACAUAAGUCGUGACAGAUAAGUAGCAAUGACAUGCCAAUUAAGGGCUCAUUAAACAAUCUUUUGAGGUAUGGGAGAGAAAUAUAAAAGUAUACCCUAAUGUUAUUUAUACAUGAUCUCCAUUUUAUAUACUACCUACCUACCCAAAUUAAAAAAGGGGUAUUGCAAUCCUCUUUUUAAAAAUGCACGUAUAAAUGUUGCUUUUGUUUUGACGAAAAUGUAAGAGACAUAGUUUUUUUCCUCUCUCCAGGAUGGUUCUCUGAGGCUGACAUUUGGAGAAGAAAGAUGUGCAAGGAGGAACUAAAGCUUCACAUGCCUUGUUGCUCAGAAAGAGAAGCCCCUUCAGCCUUCUUGAGAGAAAGACACGAACAGUCCAAGAGAAUAGUGCCUAUAUCAAAAGAGUCACUACAGUUCUCUUGACCAGCUGAUCUGGAGCAGGCAGUUGGCCUUUGGGUUUAGGAGGAAUGCUUUGCUUCAGGUUCUUGCCCACUGGGAUUGGAUAGUCCAAAGUAUGAUAUGAACACUUUUUAUUUUUACCUUGGAAAAAAAUACUCUCCAGGCCUUUCCUAUAGUACCAACUAAGACUCAAGCUACACAUCAGACUAUCACCUUCAUUUUCAAACCUUUGAAUACAUCCAGGUUUGAUUCAACCCUGACUUUUAGGGCAAUAGUUACUUAUAUAGGUCACUCAGAUGCCUGUAUUAACCUUCCACCAGGAAGGUGCUUUAAAAUCACACUAAACAUCUGUAACAAGUCAUCUCCAAACAUCGUUACAACACCACUGCCUCCAUUCCACGUGGUCACCAUGGUCAUCAAUUUUACCCAGCAACUACAAAGGCAGACCCUCAUUAUUCCUGGGGUAUGGCAGCUUGAAACUCUCAGUGCUAGUUCAUUUGCAUAAGUGCUUAGCAGCAAAAAAUCUUGACUCCUGGCACCAGAAGUAAAUUAUUCUUGGAGUACUAUACUUAGAUGCUUUGAGUUUAAUUACCUUGUAAUUUCCAGGUCAUGUUAUUACCAUGAAGCUACAUGAUUUUGCAAAUUUAUUUACAGCCUAUGAAAAGAAAA